AUUGAACGCUGGCGGCAGGCCUAACACAUGCAAGUCGAACGGUAACAGGAGACAGCUUGCUGUUUCGCUGACGAGUGGCGGACGGGUGAGUAAUGUCUGGGAAACUGCCUGAUGGAGGGGGAUAACUACUGGAAACGGUAGCUAAUACCGCAUAACGUCGCAAGACCAAAGAGGGGGACCCUCGGGCCUCUUGCCAUCGGAUGUGCCCAGAUGGGAUUAGCUUGUUGGUGGGGUAACGGCUCACCAAGGCGACGAUCCCUAGCUGGUCUGAGAGGAUGACCAGCCACACUGGAACUGAGACACGGUCCAGACUCCUACGGGAGGCAGCAGUGGGGAAUAUUGCACAAUGGGCGCAAGCCUGAUGCAGCCAUGCCGCGUGUAUGAAGAAGGCCUUCGGGUUGUAAAGUACUUUCAGCGGGGAGGAAGGGAGUAAAGUUAAUACCUUUGCUCAUUGACGUUACCCGCAGAAGAAGCACCGGCUAACUCCGUG
rnacentral:rRNA from 1 species